UCAUCAGUGAGGUACAUCCUUACCUGUUACUCCCUACCAAGGAGUAUCAGAUCAUGAUGAAUGCAGAUUCAUGAUCAUAUCAUAUGAUUAAUAUCUCCGUCUUUUAUGGAAUGCAACACCCUACUAGACCCAUUCUGAU